rnacentral:rRNA from 1 species
ACAAGCGGUGGAGCAUGUGGUUAAUUCGAAGCAACGCGAAGAACCUUACCAGGUCUUGACAUCCCCUCGACAACCCGAGAGAUCGGGCGGUUCCCCGUUCCGGGGGACGAGGGUGACAGGUGGUGCAUGGUUGUCGUCAGCUCGUGUCGUGAGAUGUUGGGUUAAGUCCCGCAACGAGCGCAACCCUCGACCUUAGUUGCCAGCAUUCAGUUGGGCACUCUAAGGUGACUGCCGGCUAAAAGUCGGAGGAAGGUGGGGAUGACGUCAAAUCAUCAUGCCCCUUAUGACCUGGGCUACACACGUGCUACAAUGGGCGGUACAAAGGGUCGCGAACCCGCGAGGGGGAGCCAAUCCCAAAAAGCCGCUCUCAGUUCGGAUUGCAGGCUGCAACUCGCCUGCAUGAAGCCGGAAUCGCUAGUAAUCGCGGAUCAGCAUGCCGCGGUGAAUACGUUCCCGGGCCUU